GAAAUGCGAUAAGUAAUGGGAAUUGCAGAAUUCAGUGAAUCAUCGAAUCUUUGAACGCACCUUGCGCUCCUUGGUAUUCCUUGGAGCAUGCCUGUUUGAGUAUCAUGAAAUCUUCAAAGUAAAUCUUUUGUUAACUCAAUUGGUUUCUACUUUGGUAUUGGAGGUCUUUGCAGCUUCACACCUGCUCCUCUUUGUUCAUUAGCUGGAUCUCAGUGUUAUGCUUGGUUCCACUCGGCGUGAUAAGUUAUCUAUCGCUGAGGACACUGUAAAAGGUGGCCAAGGUAAAUGCAGAUGAACCGCUUCUAAUAGUCCAUUGACUUGGACAAUACUUUUAUGAUCUGAUCUCAAAUAAGGUAGGACUACCCGCUGAACUUAAGC
rnacentral:misc_RNA from 1 species